UCGGAUCUUCCCUAAAGUGGCGCACAGAAGGGCCCACUGUAGAUAACUAGUAGAGAGCCUCUGGAGCACAGAUGGUGCCCCUUUAAAUAACUAUGCUGUGACCUCACCACUGUGCCCCUCCCUCUAUAAAAGCUGGGGGUAAGGCCCUGGCAGGGUGGAGAGUAGUUGUGCGGUCUUUGGAUUGUUUGCCUGCUGGAUUCUUUCUUGUCAGAUGUGGCAUGUUAGGCCAUUGGUGAAAUGCAAGCUCCUGGGAAAUCAAGCUGAUGCUACAGAGACAGAGCAUGAACAGGGGAGGGUCAGAGAGAG